UAGGUUUAGAAGGCAUGUAAUACGCGCGUUUCUUAUAAAACACCGUCUUUAAAACGUUUACCUCCUGAAGGGACCUAUUUAGAAGGGACAGUCAGAAUCUACCUCAUGAGAAUCUCAUCACUGCAGAACCAGGGGAGAAUGAGAUCAUCUAUCCCGAUGCAAGCAUACGCUCAGACGCCACCUGUUGGACUUCAACUGCACGCUCCACAACAGACUUCCUGUAACAGGGUGCCUAGCCCUACAGCGCAGGGGCUAUUAUUAUAUUACGCACAACAAAGUGUGUCAAAUCAACAAAACAAUCAUCAAAGUAAUCAACAGUCUCAUGUGUUAUGGAACGGCCAGUCUUCCUCCCAGCCUGUUUCAAGUUCAUGUAAUUUGCAGUCGAGACCUAGGCCUCAAACGUGGUUUACCGACUCGCAGAAUGGGUUGCUUCUCAGAAGUUCAACUUGUGUGGGAAGUUCUUUACCAAAUGGACAGGUUGCACCAUUGCCAGCUGCUCAGCAUGGACCCUCCACUCAAAACCUCAGCCAUCAUCCCCAGACCUUGAAUAGACAUACUGUUCCUCAGCAGAACUAUAAUAUGCCACACUUGCACAACGUCAGUAAUACAAAUGUUCCUUGGUUCCCUUCGAAUUAUAGCAAUCCAAGUUCUGCAACUGAACAGAAUAAGCUGACGCAUCAGUCAGUUCUACCUCAGUACCAGUCUCUGAAUGAACAUCAUAACAGAAUGCAGAUUGCGCAUCAACCUGCAGCUCAGCCGCAACAAACAGAUCGGUCUGCUCAGAUUCUGCACAAUCAGGCACAGCAGAAAAUUCACAAUAAUCAAGCUCAGAUAACAGGAGGAAAAGGAAAUGGUGCUUUAUAUAACUCUGUUAACCACUUCCCUGCUACUUCACAAAGACUCAUCACUCCAUCCCAGCCUUCAAACUACAGUCAGCAGACUGGUCAGAGCCACGCAAGCUAUAACGGGAAUCACGCUCAGCAUUCAUCACAAAUCCAGCAUCAGCCUUCGCCAUACAGAACAGAGACCAAUUCUUCCGGUUACGGUCAUUUAAAACACAGCGAGAACAAGCAUCAAAAUUUACAGUCACACCCAUCCCCACCAUACCCAGAGCAGAGGAGAAAGCAGAGGAAAAAUCAAAGUUCAGCAUUAAGGUUACCCCAGGACAAUUUCCAGGACCAGACUUCACUCCAACAAUGCAACACUACACUAGAUUCUGGCCAUCAAAGCCAGACAUGCCAUCCUACUGUGUCUGCCAUUCAAGGCAACACAUGGCCACAAGAAUCAAAUGAUGCAAGCGCUGGACUCCCUAGGUCCUCACAAGUUACAAUAUCUUCAGACACUCCUACCAGAGGAGUACCACCACUCAAGCUAAUAAAUUGUCUGGUAGGGAAAUACAAGGCACCUGCUCAAAGGCAUGUCACUAAUCCUCUGCCGUGCCUCAAGGCCAGCUUUACCACCCAGGGGCAAACACCCAGUCACAUUACACCUAAUGCAAGCUACCCUCAGACACCAGAAUCUACCCCAUGCUGUAGUGCACUUGCAACCCUUCACAGUAAAAUACUCCAAAGGAUCAGCAGUAAGCAGACAUCUGUCAAAAGAACAGCCAUCUUAAAAGAGAACGAACAUGCCCUUGGUAAUCAGUUGAAAGCACCACAUGGUCAAAGCUUUGAAGGGAUGCAGAACAGAAGAUUGCAGUUAGACUCGAACAUCGAGAGAAAAGAUGAACAAAACGGCAAUAACUGUCAUGGAGAGGUGCAGUACGGUGAGGAUGUAGCUGAGUCUCUAGAGCUGGUAAGGGCACUGCAGAAAAUGUAUCGACAAUUCCACAAAGCAGUAGCUGUAGUUCCACCCAUUUCUCAGCAGCCCCCCAGUCCAGAAAAAAAUGAUCAUGUCCCCACAAGCGCCGAUGACAGCCUGCCUUUCAAGAUCGAUGCUGUCUGUACUCUUGUUAAGGAGGGCAAGAAUGUGGAGCAAGAGUCAAAUGCACCAAGUCUGCCCAAAGAGACCAUCAAGGAAUUACUGCAGUUGUUUUCAAUACCAGACCCCGAGACACAGGAACCUAACAAACCUGAAGAUGGAUCUACAGUUGACAGCCUAAUACCUGACACUCAAAGCACAGACAUUCCUCAGUCUCAAAUUGACUCUUCCACAUCUCAAGACCCUGUUUGCUCUACUGUCUUGACCUCAAAAAGUGCAGAGGAUCACAACGAAGUCCAAACUGGUCAGUCAAAUGGCAACAUGUUUGAUGUGUCCAAGAUACAAGUGCUUAAUUUUACCACCGAAGAAAUUUAUUGAGUUUGUGAAGA
ensembl:lncRNA